rnacentral:misc_RNA from 1 species
GGAUGAAGAACGUAGCGAAAUGCGAUACGUAAUGUGAAUUGCAGAAUUCAGUGAAUCAUCGAGUCUUUGAACGCACAUUGCGCCCCCUGGUAUUCCGGGGGGCAUGCCUGUCCGAGCGUCAUUGCUGCCCUCAAGCACGGCUUGUGUGUUGGGCCUCCGUCCUCCUCCCGGGGGACGGGCCCGAAAGGCAGCGGCGGCACCGCGUCCGGUCCUCGAGCGUAUGGGGCUUCGUCACCCGCUCUUGUAGGCCCGGCCGGCGCUUGCCGACACAUCAAUCUUUUUUCCAGGUUGACCUCGGAUCAGGUAGGGAUACCCGCUGAACUUAAGCAUAUCAAUAAGCGGAGGA